CUACCUUUUGUAGCUUGAUAGAUUUUUAUUAGUGUAGUAUUUUGGUAGUUUGUUAUUAUUUAGCUUGGUAUUAUUCUAAAAUGAAGUUUUUUCUGUAGCUGUGCACAAACCCUAGCAAUGACGGCGCUGAAAAGCGAAGCCAACAAACUGAUGAUCUGAUGGUGGCGUGGCGUGAAUUUGUGAUGACAGUGGUGAAAUUGCUACCCGACCACGUGAGCGACCACCUCAAGGGUCACCUCACCCUGCUACUCAUCAAUGCCCUGGCCGCUGAGAUGACCUCCAUCGUCAAUAUGAACGCCAUUGUUGGCCUCUCAGAAGCUGGCCUCAUGCUCAUCUCCAUGUGCAAAGAGUGUCGCACUAAGAAAGGUUGUAUGGAGCAGAUGGUGCGAAUUUUGUCGAAAUUAUCUCAGCAUUACAUCUACAUUAAACCGAAAGCAAUCACAAUGAUAUUGGCUUUUUCAGCUCGAUUACUAGAUGCCAGUCCUGUUAUUCUACCAGAAGAUGGAAUCGAGGUGUUAAUGGAGUCAGUGUGUGAAAUAAUAGCGAUUGAAGUUGAUCUAUUCAUAAACUCGUGUCAGGACCGAAACAAACCCAGCAAGAAGACUGACAAGUUGACGCUAGCUCUGUGUUUGGCGCUCAGAUUGCAGGCUCUGCUUGAGGAUCAUAGCAGUCUUGUUAAAACUUGGACCAAGAUAAUUCGCUCCAUGAAAUUUGUACAGAGACUGAUAUCCGCCAUAGCAACGUCAUUAAAGUGCCAAAUUGAGCCAAAACUGUGCCUUUUCAUGCUGGAAUUUCUUUUGGCUCUUACAAAUAAAGAGUCGCUUUUCAGACACAUUGACAUGUUCGAUCUCAACUACUACAUAUGGGAGAAUAUCCCACAAUGUACAGCAGGAUAUCCUAAUGAAACAAAAGCCGACUUGAAUAGUCAAUGGAAGCCAGUUUACUGCAGAGGUUUUGAUUUAGUCACAUUUUUGUUAGAAAAUAAUAGCCGCUGGAUAAGAGCAUCCACUUAUGACUUUAUUGAAUUACAUCAAGAUUAUUUAGAAGAACUUCUAAAACUGUUACAGGUGUCUGAUGAUGAGAUCGAUCUUGAGCUAGUAUCUGCUGGUUUGAGACUAUUGAGUCACAUUAUAUCCGACAACGUAUUUUCAAAGAAAUCCAGAAAUCAAAUAUCAAGGCUCAUGACGAGUGUAUAUGAGUGUGUUGGUGUUGUAGUGAAUCUGCUUCUACACCCGAACACACUUAUAUCGCAGUUCUACCUUCCACAUCCAAGAAAGCCGUUGCCGUUGCCUCUGGAGAACAAGCCACUUGAUCAAACCACCAUAAAAAAGGCUCAGAGUGCACAAAUCAAAUUGGUAGAAAUCUAUUGCGAGUGCAUAACAGUUCUUGAUCAACAUUCGCUGGAUCUGAAUGACGUGAUAACUGCCGAUCGACUGGGAGUCCCCCCCUGGGCUAUGCAGCCCCCCCUCGACAUGCUCGAGCCCAUGGACGACUUCUCUGUCAUACUCAACGCCAUCAACCUAUUCACCAGAGUAUUGACUAAGAGUAUGCGUGCUUCUACACCAGUAUCAGGAGAAACAGAAGAUGUGAGUGGCUCUCUGUCGAAGCUGACUGCUGUCAAGCACGAAGACAUCAGAACAUGCUUCUAGAUUAUACUCGAAGAGUUAAGAUCGAUCCAAGACUUGACAGAUUGGCAAGUGAAGACUUUGAAGACAGUGCAAGUGGCAAUGUCCACAAACCACUCACAUGGCCUGAUCCGCCAACUGAGCCACAACCAAAUUAUGAGUCAGCGAAUUCUUCAAGAAAUAGUGUAAGAAGAAAUAUGUUUCCAGAUGAGGCUGGCUCUGCCUGUGAUGCAGCUCAAAUCGACUCUGAUCCAACAGAAAUCCUGCAGAUGGACUUUUCAGCGUUUGCUGUAGACGUUUUGCAAAUGUUUUUCAAAAUGAGUGAAAAAAGAGCCAUUAAUGUGUGAAUUUGUGAUGUUCAUCUUUCAAUUUAGAACUAGUGUGGGUGAAACCUAAUAGGCCUAUUUCUACUCAACUCGGAAUAAAAAUGGUGCUAGCUUUGACUGCCUGCGGUGGAUAGCUGGGGGAGAGUUGCCCCUUCCCCUUCCACCAGCCACAAGUGUCAAUCAUUUUCCCUACUACACGUGCUGGAAGUUGCACUUUCCCUCCUCCCUUCCUCAUAAGAGGAGAAGAAGAGAAAGAAGAAGAAAAAGAAGGGGAAGAGGAGGAAAAGAGAAAGAAAAAGAAGAAGAAGAAGGGGAAGAGGAGGAAAAGAGAAAGAAGAAGAAGAAGAGGGAGAAAAAGGAGAAGGAGAAGAGUAGGAAGAAGAAAAAGAAGAAGCAUAAGAAGGAGAGGAAGAAAAAGAAGAAGCAGAAGGAAAGGAAGAAGAAGAGGAAGAAAAGUAGAAGGAGGGAAAGGAGAAGAGUGUUUCGCCCUUCCACUAACCUUUGUACCGCCCAUACGCCACAUAAGUGGGGGGGGGGGACUGCGCUCCUCCGCUGCAGUCAAGGCGCCAGCACCAUUCUUAUUCCGAUUCGAGAUUAGUAUACUAGGACAUAAUUUAUUGAAUGGACUAAAAGCAUUGUUGCAUGACCUGAUGACUUUUCAUUUUCUUCAUCAUAGCCUUAUUUUUGUUAAAACAUAAAAAUAUCAACCAUUGAUUGAAGAUAAUUUAUUAUUACAGUACCUUUAUUUUACCUACUUUAUUCUCAAGUUAAGUCAGUAAAUUAUCUAUUUAGUCAGUAAACUCGAAUUAAUUAUCACUGUAUAAUAAUAAAUAAUUUUUCAUAACUCGUAA
rnacentral:misc_RNA from 1 species